rnacentral:rRNA from 1 species
UCGGGAAUUUUGGGCAAUGGGGGAAACCCUGACCCAGCAACGCCGCAUGAAGGAUGAAGUAUUUCGGUAUGUAAACUUCGAAAGAAUAGGAAGAAUAAAUGACGGUACUAUUUAUAAGGUCCGGCUAACUACGUGCCAGCAGCCGCGGUAAUACGUAGGGACCAAGCGUUGUUCGGAUUUACUGGGCGUAAAGGGCGCGUAGGCGGCAUGACAAGUCACUUGUGAAAUCUCUGGGCUUAACCCAGAACGGCCAAGUGAUACUGUCGCGCUAGAGUGCAGAAGGGGCAAUCUCGAGUCCGGAAGAGGUUAGUGGAAUUCCCAGGGUGUAGAGGUGAAAUUCGUAGAUAUUGGGAAGAACACCAGUGGCGAAGGCGGCUAACUGGUCCGGUACUGACGCUGAGGUGCGAAAGCGUGGGGAGCAAACAGGAUUAGAUACCCAAGUAGUCCCUGAGCGGGCUGGCAAGGCGCAU